UGGCAGGAGAGGCAGCAGCGACAGUAGCAACAGCAUCCUGUCCUGUUAACGCAGCGACUGAAAGAGGCUGAAUCAUUACAGAGCAGCAGUCCCUGAAAACUUGAUGAAAUGGAAGACACUCACUGUGCAUCAGAGAGAGCACGGGCUCCAGGGGACAUUCUGUGGUGUGUCAGUGCAUGCUCUGUGCACCCAAUCGUUUAAACCAUACUUCACUGAGCCUGGACAUCCAAACGGUUUCUAAGGAACCAUUCUAUUUACCUAUGUCAAUAGGAGUCUUUAAAGUCCACUAAAUCUCUACUACAGGACCAUCACAAGGAGUCCCAGGGCAGUGAAAGCACCUAGAACAUACAUGAUGCAUACAAGCACUUAAAGAUAUUUGUUCAAUAAAUGGAUGGAGAAGCAGAACUCUCUUAAGAAGGGACAUAUGGGGGAAAAUUUCUCAAAGAGACAAGUACUCCCUACAGAGCUUUAUCUGGGAGAGAGGCAGCAUAAUUCAAAGUAUGACAAGUUUCACCUUGGAGGAAGCCAACUGAAAACAAUGAUAGGAGAAGAAAGCAAAGAUUCAAUUCCAGACAGGAUCAUGGCUCAACAAAAGGCUGUCAGAGGAACUGGACGAUUACAGACAGAACAACGUGAUCCAGCUGCUUCCAUUCCCAGUAACCACCCACCAAAACAGACUUGCCCAUGGUAGCAAUAUGAUGACAGCUUGAUUAUUUUAAAACCUAAUAGUUACCUGUGUAUAUGUUCCUAAAUAUAAAAAUAUAACCUGACUUGUCCAUAUA